UGAACCUGCGACCUUUUGGUCCGCAAGUUCAGCAGCUCAGCACUUUAACACACUGCGUCACCGGGGGCUCCCUGGUAAGGAAAAGCCUAUCAAACGUCAAAUUAUGUUAUAUUACAAAUUAGGCACCAAAACAUCAUGUUUUACAAUAAAUCAGAAAUAGUAGUUCAAUACAUGGUAGCGUUAUGUAGUAAUUACUAUAUUUAUGAAUUUAGCAGCAAAACAUCGCAAUAUAUAUAAAACAUUGACUACUAAAUAAUUGACUACACAUAGAAUCAUAGAAUAGUAGAGUUGGAAGAGACCUCAUGGGCCAUCCAGUCCAACCCCCUGCCAAGAAGCAGGAAAUCGCAUUCAAAGCACCCCUGACAGAUGGCCAUCCAGCCUCUCCUUAAAAGCCUCCAAAGAAGGAGCCUCCACCACAGUCCGGGGAGAGAGUUCCACUGCCGAACAGCCCUCACUGUGAGGAAGUUCUUCCUGAUGUUCAGGUGGAAUCUCCUUUCCUGUAGUUUGAAGCCAUUGUUCCGUGUCCUAGUCUGCAGGGCAGCAGAAAACAAGCUUGCUCCCUCCUCCCUAUGACUUCCCCUCACAUAUUUGUACAUGGCUAUCAUGUCUCCUCUCAGCCUUCUCUUCUGCAGGCUAAACAUGUCCAGUUUUUUAAGCCUCUCCUCAUAGGGCUUGUUCUCCAGACCUUUGAUCAUUUUAGUUGCCCUCCUCUGGACACAUUCCAGCUUGUCAACAUCUCCCUUCAAUUGCAGUGCCCAAAAUUGGACACAGUAUUCCAGGUGUGGUCUGACCAAGGCACAAUAGAGGGGUAGCAUGACUUCCCUGGAUCUAGACACUAUACCCCUAUUGAUGCAGGCCAAAAUCCCGUUGGCUUUCUUAGCAGCCGCAUCACAUUGCUGGCUCAUGUUUAACUUGUUGUCCACAAGGACUCCAAGUUCUUUUUCACAUGUACUGCUGUCUAGUCUUGAAAAACAGGUCCAAAGUCCUCUCUGAGGGAUUGUCAUUAUUUCUUCUUCCAUUUUCAGUCAUGGCUUCCAACUUGUAUUCUCACAGCCAGCUCCUCCAUUGUCUACAUUUGCUUUUUCUGAGAAGAUAUUUAUGCCAUUCAGGAGUUUGCAUGGUUUUGUAACACGGUAGUCUUUUAAAAAUGUUAAUAAAAACAACAAAACUGGAGCCUAAAUUUUGAAAAACAGGUCCAAAUUCCUCUCUGUGGGCUUGUCAUUCUUCCCCUUCAAUGUCCACUCAUGGAUUCUGACUUGAAUGCUCACAACCAGGUCCUCCAUUCUCUUCCUUCUUCCUUUUCCGCUCAGCCAUCCUGAGAUGUGUAUGACAUUCAGGAGUUCUCUGACUUCUCCAAUGUGAAGGCCUUGAAGAGAAGAGCCACCUCCAAGGAAUGGGGGGCCUGCUCUGGGGCCCCAUCUUGAGGCCCUUCCUUCUGCCUCGGUCCCUUCAGGAGGGACAACAUGGCCGCCGACUGCAGACGGGAUUCCCAGCCAAGGCUUUUUUCUUAAGGGAUUACGGUUCACGCUCCAAGUUCAACACAAAUAAUUCCUUUUGUAAUUUCCAUAUUUAUAUUUCAAAUGCAUCUACAUUGUUUUAAGCUGCACUGUGAUGUCUUUUGUUAGCGGUCUUGAGUGAAAAUCAGGAAAAUAAAUAAAUACACAAGCAAGCCAAUGCCUCAAUGGAGAGUUUUUUGAGAGGGAUUUGUGGAAACUGUAAUCCCAAACAGCCCUUUUCAAGCGUGAACGGGAUUCCUUCUGUUGCCACCCAACGCUUUGAGGCAACAGCAGGAAUCAGGCACCAUUUCAACUGCAGUGGCUCAAUGCUGCGGAAUCCUGGGAGUUGUAGUUUCCCCAGGGUCCUUAAAAGAAAACCUUAAAAUGUGCAGAGUCAUUUAAGCAUUACUUACUUUUGGUAUUAUGUAUAUUGAAAUAAGACAUGCAUCGCUAAAAUUUUGUUAAUUGUUGGAAUGUAAUAAAAUUUAAAAAAAAAAAGCAGAAAAGGGAGAUGCAUGGGGCCACCCUUCCUUGCUUCCUUUCUGCUCCCUCCCUCCCUCCCUCCCAGGAGCAUCUCCAGGCUGGUGAUUGUUUUCCUUUGAAAAGGUUCCAUUCUUGCCAUGGAGACGGGAGGUUCCGAGGAGCCUUGAGUCGGUUGGCCCUGCCAUUGCCUUCCUGACCACCAACAUGGGCAGAGGGCAUUCCAGGCAGGUCCAUUCCGGGGCCACCUGGGCACUGCUGACAGCCUGGCUACAACAUUGCAGCCUGGUCAUCCAAUAUCAGAGAAGGCAGGGCCUUCUCCUCCUCUGCAAAACCUAUAGGGAGGUAAGCCAGACAGAGCCCAGGCUCCACACACCACAGAGAGGCCCAGCAGGCCUUGCUCUUGUAAUCACAGGAAGAACAUACAAUAUGGUAGAUCUUGGAAGGUUCCUUCCCCAAACAAGGGGGGGGAGGCUGCAGUCAGGAGUUCUCUGCAGGGGACCUCUUAGGCAGAGUUGUGAUUUGACUUUAUCCUCCUUUUUCUCUCUUUGCAGACCAUGGGCCUUCAGGAGCUCCUGGACAGGGUUCUCGGGGGGAUGCAAUCCCCCCACACCAACAUCACUGUGGAGUUCCUGGACCUGGCUGGCCGGCUGGAGCCCCUGCUAUAUAUGGAAGACCAGGCCCUUGCGAAGGUUCACCUGACUGCCAGGUGCCGCCUUCACUUCCACCAUGAGGUGGCCAAGAUCUGGAAGGCAGCCCUAGAAUGCUCCCAGUAUUUUCUCUGGCGCCCAGUACAUCCCCUUGAGGAGCGCCAGACCAUCCAUGGCCUCCUGGCGGUGCUAGUGCAUGUGGAGGAUGAAGACGAGGAUGGGGCCAAGAUUGCGAGGGAGACACUCAAGGAGGCAGCGGAGGUCCUGCAAUGGCGCCUGAAGGACAGCGUUCUGGCGGAGGACACCAUCAGCCUGCAGGAGCUGCUUCACAAGAUCUCCAAGCGCCUGAUCCAGCACUGCAGCCCCAGGAGAGAGUUGGAGGAGCAGGUGUAUGGCUUCCUGCAUUUCUUCAAGAGCCAACGUCCAUCGGCAAAGAAGGCGGCAGCCAUGUUGCUCGCUUCUUGCCAGGUCACGUUCUUCACAAGCACUGCAACAUCUGUGCCAAGAGAAACAUGUACACCUUCAAGGCCUGGCUGAUGAACCUCCUUGCCGACCGUGACCCUGAAGUCAGGCGAGUUGGCAGGGAGAACAAAGCCAUCCUUGCCAGGGCCUCUGCCCUCCACUCCUGACAUGGGCUGCGGGCUGCUCUUCGGCACUUGGUGGCGCCCUGCAGGCGGUACUCCCCAGAAUACACCAAGGAACCACCUGCCUGAUGGACUGCACUUUCCAUGGAUUCCUUUGGAGAGGAAGACCCAAACCGCCAGGACCUGCUUAUCAGGCCCCAUCGACACUGAUCCUUUCAUGCAGUUUGAACUGCAUAUGAGGCUGGGUUUAUACUGCCCUCUAUCUCAGGAUCUGAUCCCAGAUUAUCUGCAUCUGGGAAAAGCAGAUAGUCUGGGAUCAGAUCCUUGUGUAUAGGGAGUGUAGAUCCAACCUGAGUCUGUACUGAAUGUAUAAUACAAUUCAAACUGCAUGAGAUGACAGUGUAGGUAAAGCUGUUGGCCUCAUCUAUACCGCCAUAUAAUCCUGUUUCAGAAUGCAUAUUAUCCGUGGUUCAAAAUGGAUUAUAUGGGAGUUUAGACAGGGCCUAAGAGGGAGAAGUGAGAGAAGAUGACAGUGCAACAAUGUAAGGGAGAUUUACACUGUCCUAUUUCGCAGGAUCGGAUCCCAGAUUAUCUGCUUUAAACUGGAUUAUUUGAGCCAAAUAAUCUGAGAUCAGAUCCUGGGAUAAGGGGCAGUGUGGAAGAGGCCGUAGUUGGUGCAAAUAUAGUCCUGGACUUACAGUGGAGGGAGGCCCAGGCAUCUCUGGCGGAGGGAUUCCAAGGUUUCCCUCCACCGCAAAUCCUAGGACUCUUAGCUCAGCCUUGGAGGAGAACAACCGCCCUUGAGCAGCACAGUUAGAGUAUCCCAUACGCUCUGUUUUCUUUCUUUUUUUGUAGUUUAGCUUAUAUAAUUGUAUCAUCUAAUAUUGUAAUUUUUAAUAUCUGUUCUGAUUAUUAUAAAUAUAUCCUUUUCUUUUUAAUUUGGUGCUUUCCUUGGAUUACUUUGGGGAGGGGGAGGGAGACCCAAACCACUCAGGACCUGCAACUCAGGCCCCAUCUACAUUGCCAUAUAUAUCGCAGUUCAAACUGCGUUAUAUGGUGAGUGUCGGCUCAUAUAAUGCAAUUUAAUGCAGUUAUAUUAAUCUACAUUAACCAUAUAAUACAGUUUGAACUGCAUUAAAUUGACAGUGUAGGCAAGGCCUAAGAGGAAUGAAAAUGCUGGUUUAUGCAAAAAUUUGUGUCAUUACACUGUGUCACGUUAAGAUCAUGCUGUGACCAUGAUGGCAUGGCUGUGUAAAUAAAAUCUGCAUUUUUAAAGAACUGUUUGUGUGUGUGUUUAUAAAUGCUUUGCUGGGGGAUAUGUUCCUUGUGGAAAUGAGAAACUGGGGAGAAUAGCGAACCCUAUCACAAUCAAUGAUACCCUCAGCAGCUCUUUCCACGUCUAUUCUGACCUGUUUUGAUGGGCAGGAAAGAAAGAUUUGUCCUUUGGAGAGAAACUGUGGUUCUAGCCAGACUAAGGGUGAAUUAUUUCUCUUUUUCUGGCCCCAAAUGGAAGGGCAGGGCAAUGUCUUGGCAAGUGCACCAGAAUUUGCUGGAUGGGGAAUUAAUCGAUUGAUCCCGGGUCACAUUGGAGGCAGAUGGGCUGAGUCAAAGCAGGGAAAGCCGCAUGCAAUUUCAUCAUUCACGUAUAUGUAUAUCUGUUUAUGAAUGAUGGAAUAGUAGGCAGCUUUACUAGUUUGUUCUCUCUAAAUAUCAUUUUAUAUAUCCAGACACACACACACACAUUGGAAAUAUAAAAUAUUUAGGGAGAAUGAAUCAAACACAUAUACAACACCAUGCAAAAAUUCAACGAAUCAGAUGUACAACACACUUUAUAGCUACAAUACUAACCUACAAUUAAACUUCUACAGUGUGCCUUUGGUGCCUUGUGUCCCAUCUCCUUUGCUCUCUUCCCUUUUGCCUAUUGUGUUGGUGCAUCUGGCACCAUAUGUCCAUCCCU